rnacentral:rRNA from 1 species
UGGGGAAUAUUGGACAAUAGGCGAAAGCCUGAUCCAGCCAUGCCGCGUGUGUGAAGAAGGUCUUCGGAUUGUAAAGCACUUUAAGUUGGGAGGAAGGGCAGUAAGCGAAUACCUUGCUGUUUUGACGUUACCGACAGAAUAAGCACCGGCUAACUCUGUGCCAGCAGCCGCGGUAAUACAGAGGGUGCAAGCGUUAAUCGGAAUUACUGGGCGUAAAGCGCGCGUAGGUGGUUCGUUAAGUUGAAUGUGAAAGCCCCGGGCUCAACCUGGGAACUGCAUCCAAAACUGGCGAGCUAGAGUAGGGCAGAGGGUGGUGGAAUUUCCUGUGUAGCAGUGAAAUGCGUAGAUAUAGGAAGGAACACCAGUGGCGAAGGCGACCACCUGGGCUCAUACUGACACUGAGGUGCGAAAGCGUGGGGAGCAAACAGG